CUGUAGAGCUAAUUAUAGAACAAAUGAGCAGAAGGUUCAAAUGACUCCUAUGGAAAGAAUGGAAUGCAGGAGUCACGUGGUUUAUGUAGCUUUGAAUAGUUCCAACCAGCCCCCCUGCUGCAUUGACUGCUGUUCAUUUUCGGUGUUUCGGAAGAAUUUUCUCUGGUAAGUUGAUGAAAUAUCAUCAUUUUGUUGCAUUGUGAAGCGUUAGCUAACCGCUUUGUACCAAAAUAAGCCAACGAUGAUAUUUUAUGUUGCCAGUUUAAGCUAGAUAACCUUUAAUGAGCUAACUGUGUGCAGCUUGUUGACAAAAAUAUUUUGAGUUGAAUGGAUAACAAUUUUUAAUUUAAUCUAAUGCAAGGUUUAUGAGUAGAAUUUAUUAAUAAAUUUAAGUUCAAGGACGUAGCAUAUUUUGUUUUGCAAUUCAAAAUGUUUGACUUGUGGGAACUUUUUUGGUUUGCAGUGUGGCAACUAAAAUAUUUUGAGUUGAUUGGAUGAGCAAUUUUUAUUUAAUCUAACUCAAGGUUUAUGAGUAGAAUUUAUUAAUAAAUUUAGGUUCAAAGACGUAGCAUAUUUUGUUUUGCAAUUCAAAAUGUUUGAGUUGUGGGAACUUUUUUGGUUUACAGUGUGGCAACUAAAAUAUUUUGAGUUGAUUGGAUGAGCAAUUUUAAUUUAAGAAACUUCAAAUGUAUGAGUAAAAUUUAUUAAGACAUUUUAUUUAUGAAAACUUAAAAUUUUCAGUAUCAAAACUCAAAAAAAUUGAGGCAAUUGAUUGCCUCAAAAUUUUUGAGUUCUGGGAACUUAUUCGGGUUUACAGUGUGGUUGUGAGCAGGAGGACAAGCUGCAGACGUGUUUAUUUCAGUUUGUUUGAUUCUACGUUUUAAAAAUAUUCCCCACAGAUUGAAAUAGGUUAUAAACUUUUUAUAUUAUUAGUUUAAUUUGGGAUUUUUUGUACAAUACGUUGCUGGUUGCUGUAUCAACAUGAACAUGCAUCAGAAAUGGAAGCACAAAUGGAGAGACCAAUAAUAAAGAAAAUGUGAUUGUGAAGACAAGUAAUUUUUUAAUAUUUUUCAGUUAAUAACACUGACUGCAACACACUGCUGAAGCAUGAGACAAACAGGAUUACGAACAUAAGAAGAUAUGUUCUGUUUUGUGGACUCAAGUAAUAAGAAUAUAAUUAAGAUAAUUCAAGAAUAGUAGUCGAACAAUAACUUUUAAAAAUGAGACAUUUUCCAUAAAACUGCUCUUUUCCACUUGCUUUAUAAUAUUAGCAUUUGCAAUUUUGUUAUUAAGGAAUGACAAGAAAUAAGAAUGAACAAUAACAUAAAUAUCAAUAAAUAAAUGUCAUAGAGUAACUAAAACAAAAAUCUUAUGUAACCAUUAAAGCUUAAACUGUGUUGUGUGUCCAUCUUCAUGUUUUCAUAGUGGCUGAGCGGAGAGCUGACCAGGAACAAUGGUGGUGGCAAAACCCAGUUGGGUCUGUGAUGGAGUGAUGCACGCCUGGAGUGAUUGCCAUCUCAUCCACAGUUCUAACAUCAGGCAGAGGGAUACUCAUGUCCUGAAGAAACCUGCAGCCUGUUGAACCCACUGAAAAACAGAGCUGUUUUCCAGCUGGGUUUCCUGGUUGCAUCGCCUGGUCCUUUCUCCUCCUGGCCCUGACGCUGGCUCCUCAUGGCUUCCUGGGAUGUCCCUCUCUCCUGAUACCAUCUCAUGUCCCCCCUCACUUUCCCUCAUCUCAUUUGCCUCACUGCUGCUGCUGCUUUCCUCAUUCUCUGAAAUUAUAAUGGCACUGUUCGAAUAAAGAAUCAUUUUUCAAUAAAAUAAAUACAAAUGUCUAAUAUUUCAAAAGAUUCGUACCACAGUUUACUUGAGUACAACACGUGUGGUCACUGGUCAGUGGAUCAACAUGCAGUGGUUCUGCUGUACUUCUCACUGCGGGGUCCUUCCUCCUCCUUGGUUCAGGGCGAUGAACAAACACAGCAUCAGCCCUGAGUCUCACCUUGCCUUGCCUAGUCUUAGUAAACUGUCCCUCCUCUACAUGUGCCUGUAGAGUGGUGUAUUAGUUUAUUUCCUGCCACAUUUAA